CCCGGUCAGCCAGCCCCGGCCGCCGGGCUCGCCCUCCCCGAAUGGAGCGGUCGGCUCCGAAAGGACCCGCUCCAGUGCCACCCGGAGCGCCCUCCAAGCCUGUACGCUGCCCGCCACCCCCGUUCCACCACGUGCUGGAGUCCGAGUAAAAGCCUGGGCGCAGAGGUCCCAGCCCUGGGUCCCGCCACGCGCUUCCCCAAGCUGGUAGUUGGAGCGCCUGCGGAGAGGGAGACGGGGCCCUGGGGCGAGACAGGUCCACGCGGACAGCUUCUCGCCGAGAGUUAGCCCCAUGGCAAGCACGCCCUCCUCGGAGGAACAGGCUUGAAAGGGGAGUGGGUCAUUAGGGAGAGCGGCGGGCGACCGAGGUGGUGUUGGGCAGACCCCUGCGAGGGGAGAGUUGUCCCCCCACAAUUCUUCUCUCCUAAGGGAGAGACUCAAAUGCAUGCAGCUGGAAGCUGUCACUGUAGCGUGCGGCCGGGUAGGCGACCCCACCGAAGAGGAAGAGGCCGGAGUAGUUGCGGCCGUGCACCGCUAACCACCGCCUGCCAGAGAGGAAGAAAAGGACGCCCCAGCCGGAGAAUGAAAGCAGCUGCUGACUGCCCUAGAGCGUGGGGGCCGAGGCCUCCCCUGGGUGUAACCGGAGAGCUGGGCACAAGUGAGAUCGCUGGAGACCCGACCCCACGACCCGGAGGCGGGCGCGCGGGGCGGCGGCGGCGCCAGGCGGGUGACCCUGGAGCGGGCGCGACUCCGAGCGCGUGGGACUGGAGACUGCUUUGCGGUGGGGAAGGGUUUUUCCGGGAGGUGUUGGGGCAUUGCUGCGUGUCUGUGCUGCGGGAAGAACGGCAGAGUCCCGCUGCACGCGGGGUGGCGCGGCGCCUCGGCCACGGCUGGGGUGGCGAGGUAGGGCUGGGGUGGCGAGGUGUGUUUGGGGUGCUGUAGAUUACCGCGGCCCCUCGUGGAGUCGCGGUGGCGGGGGUGGGGGGCCCUGACGACACGGUGAUCGAGGAUAGCGACCGGUCGGGGAAAGGGAAGCCGCUGGAUCCUAGCGCAGGGAAGGUGUGGUAAGGCGGUGAAGGGCUGUCUGUGAUCAGCCCACGGGAUUGCGCCCUUGAGGAAAUCCUGGGCCUAUUGAAUUAGGUGAUAAGACAAACCGCCUCUUCAGACUGGGGCGCCUCAGAGUCUGAGCUGAGUCUUCAACUACCCGGGUUUCUCGGGGCCUUGGGUUUGCCGCUCCAGCUGUCUCUGCCCCCAAGGGUGCAGGAUUCAAACUCGCUGCGCCACCUUUGCCGAAGUGUUGAGUGAGCUCUGGGUGCGCUUCCCGCUGCUGCGAGACAGACACUAGGUUGUACCGGGAGGGGUUGAGGGGCUAGAGGCAACCCAGGCUGAAGUCCAUCCUCAGGGUGCUCAUGGGAUCGCCGGGAAUGAGAAUACGAUGAAAGAGCUCUCAGUGAAAGGGCUUCCCAGGUGGUUCAAGUAAUGAAGACCCCGCCUGCCAAUUCAGGAGCCACUGUUCCAUCCCAGGGUGGAGAAGAUCCUCUGGAGGGAGAAAUGGCAAUCCACUCCAGUAUUCUUGCCGGAAAAAUCCCACGGACACAGGACCCUGGCUGGUGAGCGAAGGGAACUGGAAGAGUGACUGGACAAGAAUUAGACUGACCCUCAUGGAGAGGAUUGAGAAGAAAAAGAAGCUAAGUCCAUCGAUUCUUUUUAGGGUUAAUCCAAAACUGAGUCUGAUCACCUGUUUUUCUCUGAUCCUUAUUAUCAUCAGCCUUCCCUAUCAGAUAAACAGAUUAACCAGAA